rnacentral:rRNA from 1 species
AUUGAACGCUGGCGGCAGGCCUAACACAUGCAAGUCGAGCGGAUGAAGGGGGCUUGCUCCUGGAUUCAGCGGCGGACGGGUGAGUAAUGCCUAGGAAUCUGCCUGGUAGUGGGGGAUAACGUCCGGAAACGGGCGCUAAUACCGCAUACGUCCUGAGGGAGAAAGUGGGGGAUCUUCGGACCUCACGCUAUCAGAUGAGCCUAGGUCGGAUUAGCUAGUUGGUGGGGUAAAGGCCUACCAAGGCGACGAUCCGUAACUGGUCUGAGAGGAUGAUCAGUCACACUGGAACUGAGACACGGUCCAGACUCCUACGGGAGGCAGCAGUGGGGAAUAUUGGACAAAGGGCGAAAGCCUGAUCCAGCCAUGCCGCGUGUGUGAAGAAGGUCUUCGGAUUGUAAAGCACUUAAAGUUGGGAGGAAGGGCAGUAAGUUAAUACCUUGCUGUUUUGACGUUACCAACAGAAUAAGCACCGGCUAACUUCGUG